ensembl:miRNA
UGUUAGGUUGGUGCAAAAGUAAUUGCAGUUUUUGCCAUUAAAAGUCAUGGCAAAAGUAGGAUUGCUUUUACACAAACCUAAUUAGAUCAUUCCCCUU